GACAGAGGUGCCGAGCGUUAGGCGGAAUCACUGGGCUUAAAGCGUGUGUAGGCGGGCGAUCAAGUACCUUGUGAAAUCCCACGGCUCAACCGUGGAACCGCUGGGUAUACUGGUUGUCUUGAGCCGGCUAGGGGCGGAAGCGGAACAGACGGUGGAGCGGUGAAAUGCGUAGAUAUCGUCUGGAACGCCGAAGGUGAAAACAGCUCGCUGGGGCCGCGCUGACGCUGAGACACGAAAGCCAGGGGAGCGAACGGG
rnacentral:rRNA from 1 species